rnacentral:rRNA from 1 species
UACGGAGGGAGCUAGCGUUGUUCGGAAUUACUGGGCGUAAAGCGCACGUAGGCGGCUUUUCAAGUCAGGGGUGAAAUCCCGGGGCUCAACCUCGGAACUGCCCUUGGAACUGGAAGGCUAGAAUCCUGGAGAGGCGAGUGGAAUUCCGAGUGUAGAGGUGAAAUUCGUAGACAUUGGGAAGAACACCAGUGGCGAAGGCGGCUCUCUGGUCCGAUACUGACGCUGAGGUGCGAAAGCGUGGGGAGCAAACAGGAUUAGAUACCCUAGUAGU